GAUGAACGCUGGCGGCGUGCCUAAUACAUGCAAGUCGAGCGAACAGACGAGGAGCUUGCUCCUCUGACGUUAGCGGCGGCCGGGUGAGUAACACGUGGAUAACCUACCUAUAAGACUGGGAUAACUUCGGGAAACCGGAGCUAAUACCGGAUAAUAUAUUGAACCGCAUGGUUCAAUAGUGAAAGACGGUUUUGCUGUCACUUAUAGAUGGAUCCGCGCCGCAUUAGCUAGUUGGUAAGGUAACGGCUUACCAAGGCGACGAUGCGUAGCCGACCUGAGAGGGUGAUCGGCCACACUGGAACUGAGACACGGUCCAGACUCCUACGGGAGGCAGCAGUAGGGAAUCUUCCGCAAUGGGCGAAAGCCUGACGGAGCAACGCCGCGUGAGUGAUGAAGGUCUUCGGAUCGUAAAACUCUGUUAUUAGGGAAGAACAAAUGUGUAAGUAACUAUGCACGUCUUGACGGUACCUAAUCAGAAAGCCACGGCUAACUACGUG
rnacentral:rRNA from 1 species